rnacentral:rRNA from 1 species
AAAGAUGAUCAGGUUGAUAGGUCUGAGGUGGAAGUGUGGCGACACAUGGAGCUGACAGAUACUAAUCGAUCGAGGACUUAACCAU